UGAAGUCCUGCUCACUUUUGAGAGAGUGGAAGGUUCUCUGGAUGACUGGGACUUGGCGGUGCAGAAGACAGAGACUCGUCUCAACAGACUUAACGAACAGCGAGCUAAGGCGGCUGAGAAAGAAGCCAAC